rnacentral:snRNA from 1 species
GUGCUCGCUUUAGCAGCACAUGUUUUAAAACUGGAACGAUACAGAGAAAAUUAUCAUGGACCCUGCACAAGGAUGACACACAAAUUUGUGGAGUGUUCCAUAUUUUU